rnacentral:rRNA from 1 species
UACGAAGGGGGCUAGCGUUGUUCGGAUUUACUGGGCGUAAAGCGCACGUAGGCGGAUUGUUAAGUCAGGGGUGAAAUCCUGGAGCUCAUCUCCAGAACUGCCUUUGAUACUGGCAAUCUAGAGUCCGGAAGAGGUGAGUGGAACUCCUAGUGUAGAGGUGGAAUUCGUAGAUAUUAGGAAGAACACCAGUGGCGAAGGCGGCUCACUGGUCCGGUACUGACGCUGAGGUGCGAAAGCGUGGGGAGCAAACAGG